rnacentral:rRNA from 1 species
CACGUAGGGACCAAGCGUUGUCCGGAUUUAUUGGGCGUAAAGAGCUCGUAGGCGGUUCAGCAAGUCGGGUGUGAAAACUCUGGGCUCAACCCGGAGACGCCACCCGAUACUGUUGUGACUUGAGUCCGGUAGGGGAGUGGGGAAUUCCUGGUGUAGCGGUGAAAUGCGCAGAUAUCAGGAGGAACACCGGUGGCGAAGGCGCCACUCUGGGCCGGUACUGACGCUGAGGAGCGAAAGCGUGGGGAUCAAACAGG